UUUUGAUCAGAGCCAUCGAUCUGUGCUGGCGCGCAGUGCUCAGGUGGAUUUGGAGGUUGAAAGGCACUCGGGUGCAGUUCACUGUUUGUUCCCAGGCAGAUCCCACUGGUUGGUGCUUUGCUGCCUUUCUUCUUGGAAAGAGCCCUCCCAGCUCAGCCAGAUGGACCCAGUGAUGCAGCUGCCCCCCCUGCCCCAUUCUGCCCCACACCUCGCACUCCCUGGCACUGUGCUCGCAGGGACAUGGGCACCGUGCUGAUGCUACAUGCUGUUCAUCGGAAUCAACCCAGAGGUUCUUCCCAUCCCUACGGCUGUAAUAUCUGGUGCGCCUCCGCAGAUGAAAGGAAAAGACACCAUCUCUCCCACUCUUGCUCGCUUCGUGAGAGCUGAUGCAGUUAAUUGGAGCUUCUUGUGAGCGCACAUUAACACAGGCAGAGCCAAGAAGACGUCUUGGCAGCGAAAUAUCAUUAUCAGCUCUUGAGCUCCAGCCAAAAUCCCCUUGCGGUCAAAACACAAUUCUUUAAACUAAACAAUUAAAGAUUUGUGCAAGUGUU